rnacentral:lncRNA from 1 species
UGGUCACAUUUUGAAAAAAAGGACCCGUAUCUUUGAAGAAAACCUUGGUUUGAAUGAAAUAGUUCAAUAACUCAUCAAUUUGUAUUUGUGUCUUUGUCGCAGAUUUAAACGAAACCCUGCAUGAAUCUUGAAUGAAUUUCUUCAGCUGAAAAAAGGAGUGAUCAACAUUUUAUAAUGAUGAAGAGAUGUUCUCUCAUAACUGCAAGCAUGAUUUCAAAAUUCGUCAAAGGUCAUCUCUUGUACUCGUAGCGCUUAUCUCUGUGUGGCUCGUUGCAGUGAGGGCCCAGUAUGAAGAAAUCAUCGAUCCGGAGCUCGAGAAAAAGGGUCCGCAGGUCAACAUCAAAAUGCGCGAGACCUGCAGAACACAACGUCCUGCGUGGAGCCUCCCUACGAGUGCCCACAUCCCAGGAUACAGUUCUUUCUGUACACUAGGUACACACAAACGCGACCUGAUAUCCUCGACACAACCAAUGAUCUCUCUCUGUACGAAUCUCAUUUCAACCCCGCUCAUCCGACCAAAGUCCUGAUCCAUGGAUUUCAAGGAGGGCGUAUCUAUUCUCCGAGCACUGAUAUCAGAAGGGCGUACUUCAGCCGAGGGAAUUACAACAUUAUCGUGGUGGAUUACUCAAGCCUGGUUCUGAUUCCGUGCCUGAGUCAGAUCGAGU